rnacentral:lncRNA from 1 species
GAGUUAUGUGGUGGAGCUGAUGAACCCGCACGACAUUGUGCUCUGGCUCUUGGAAAAACGAGCUCACCUGCUCCCCAUGGUACUGGGGAAUUGAACACAGUGGCACUCUAUCACUGAGCUACAUUUCUACCUCUUUUAUUUUUUAUUUUGAGAUAAGCUCUCACUAAGUUGUCCAGGCUGGCCUCAAACUUGUGAUCCUCCUGCCUUGGCCUCCCAAGUAGUUGGAGUGACAGGCAUGCUGCUGGCACAGUGAAAAAGGAGAUCUUUAAUCUCUACUUCAACAUUUUCCCCUUCAAAGAGGUAAUAGAUUGAGGUGGGAGGAUCACUUGAGCCCAGGAAUUUGAGACCAGUCUGGACAAUAUAUUUAGACCCCUCCUCAAACAAACAAGAAAGAUAUAAUAGAUGUCUUUGUUCAUCUUUCAGCAACCCAUAAGGAUGGGGGUACCAAGAGUUGAGUGACUAUUCCAGGAACUUGUUGCUUUUGUUUUCUAAUACCCAGCUAUAACAACAAUAGUUUGAGAAUGCUGCACAACCCAGGGGUUCUACAUCCAAAAGUCAUGGUGUAUCUUGGCGGGUAUGGGCUGGACAGGCCAUACUGUCUUCUAAAAAUAACUGAUGGUACAUUCAGUUAAUCUGAUUUUCUGCUGACCAGGAGAAGGGACUUCCAUGUUAGGCCAGGUGAGUGGGAGUGGCCAUGAGAUGGAUGAGGAAGCUGUGUGCACUAGCACAUGCCUGUAACCCCAGAGACUCCGGAGGCUGAGGCAAGGAGGGUUGCAGGUUCCAAGGUAGCCUGAGCAUCAUAGUGAGACUCUGUCUUAAAAUUUUAAAAAAGGUGUAAAGGACUGGGGAUGUGGCUCAGUGGUAAAAUGCCCCUGGGUUCAAUCUCCUGUACCUACCACCACUCCCUACCCCUCCAAAAAAAGAAAGAAAAAAAUAAAAGUUUGAGGAGAUUUUUCAUUAGGAAAACUGUUUAUGAAAAGAAAGGAUAGAGUAGCUCCAAAGAAUGUGAUCUCUGGCUUCAUUAGACCUGGGCUGAAGUCCUGGUAGCUUUAGGCUGACUGUUGACAUGAUCUUGGGAAAGUGUUCAUUUGACCUCUGUGUGCCUCAGUAUUGUCAUCAGUAAAGUCAGGAUGGCCAAGUUCCUCCUCAUGGAGUGUUUGUGGAGGUUACAUAACACCAAAGAAGCAUUUAGUAUGGUUUACUCUACAUAGUAAGUACUCAUGAAGUUAUAGUUGUCUGUUUCCUUUUUAAAAAUAAAAGCAGCAAAAGGCUAUGUGACAGGCUGAGAUCUUAUUCAAAGGCAUUAUACAUAUGAAUGGGUAACAAUAAAUCCCACUAUUAUAUAUACUUACAAAGCACCAAUACUUUAAAAACAAAGUUAGAGGAAAGACUGAAGAGGGGAAAUUCAGAGCUAGAAAGGGAAUCUGGGGCACAAGUUCCAUGCUCAAAGAACAGUUCUGGGAACUAGGGGUGUGUGGAAUUAACAGGAACACUGGUCAGAGGACUCCUCUGUGGAGAGCCAGGAGAGGCCGGCCAAUAUGUGAGUGCUGAGGGAAGCACUUUUACCUGUGGCAGAAAGAAGUCCCGAACAGUCCAGCAAAAACAAAAAAUCUCUGUUAUUCUCCAGAAAUCAGGGAAUCAAAAAUGAAGGCUCAACCAUGGGCAGAAGUUAGAGGCUUUUUCCGCAGAAGCCAGGCACACUCUCAGAGGCAGGCUGGGGAAGUGCUUGCUGGCCAGGCACCGUGAUGAGGAUCACUUGAGCCCUGAGUUCAAGGUUACCCUCAGCAAGGCCUGUCUUGAAGGAAAAAAAAAAAAAAGUGCUUACUAUCACAAGGGAUAGGCAAAGAAAGCACAAAAACACCCUGGGAAAAGAGAUGUUUUAUGCUCUAAGUUUAUGCCAAACCAAUUCAAAAAUGAGUCUGAAAACUGACCUCACUUCAACUUCUAGGUUUACAUACGAGGAAAUCAAAGCCCUUCCCAGAAGUAGUGGGUAGUUGUGUGAUGGGGUAUGAUAUGCCUGGAGUGUUGGCAUAAAUGUGUGAGUGUGGCCAUUGCAACAGACUGGGGUGGGUGGGGGGUGAAGUGCACCCAGGGAAGAGAGUUUUCAGAGAAAAAGCCACCCCCACCAUCUCUUAAUGAUGAACCCAAAAGUGGCAACAAAAGAAACUGAGGUUAAUGACAGUAGGAAAAUAGGAGGCAAGUAAAACCUUCCAUUCAGGGAAUAUGUGGGGAUCAUAUAUCUGAUCCCAUCAAAUGUGUCUUCUACAUACAACAGAAGCUGAAAGCUAAAGAUGAGGUAAACAGGAGCGUAGGGUAACUGGGUGCAGUCCAGCCCUGCAAACGGGAAGGGUGACUGCUCCAGGUACAGGAAUUCACACUCAGUUUUUUUAAAAACACUGACUUUGCCAAAGGAAACACAGAGCUCAGCCUCACUGCCAUGUCACCGAUUUGCAAACACAGUUCUCCACAGUGUUAAAGUGUAAAAUAGCUUCAAUGAAAGAGUUUUAGUCUAAAGAGACCUGUGAAAGGACAGUUUCAUUUUAAAGGGGAUCCCAGCUGAAUGAAAACGCAGAAUCCUGAGAUUUUUUUCCAUCUACAUAUUGAUAAAAGGGAUAUUUUCAUAUUUAUAUGAGAUGGUGUCUGUCUUUCCCAUUGAAAAUAAAAACAAGAGAGACGUCCUUCACCUCAAGCACCAACACUGUAUUAAUGGUGCUUAAUAAAUAUUUGUGGAAUGAAUAUAUGGGGUUAUAAGCAGAGCAAAGCACUAACUGGAGCUAGAACAAUACCUCUCUUUUGAGGUUAUAAAACUAAGGGGGUGGAUCUCUAGAUCUAAUCCUCCCCUCCUCCCUUCAGGAUUUAUUUUUAACCUUGUGGAUAUCUUUUUGUACAAAGCCAAAGACUUCAGUGGUAGGACCUCCCUCAUCUUGUUGCUUGAGCAGAGAUCAAAGAGCAUGGGCAGCCUCCCAAGAACAGCUUAUUAUGGAAUUUGCAUCCUAGGUUGUAUCCAAGCGGACUUGGUUCUCUGGGAUCUGAGCAAAGGAACUUCAGAACUCAGGCUGAUAACCCUUCUAACCACCUGCCUCCAUGAUUCUUGAGCACAGAGAGGGGCACCAGCCUCACAGAGUUGUAAGGAGUAAAUGAUACUGUGUAUGGAAAAGGCAUAAUCAGUGCCUGGCACAUAGUAAGCACUCCAAUACUAUGGCUAUUAUUAUCUAUUAUAGAAACAGUAGAUGAAUGGUUUUUUAAAAUUGGCCUAAUUUUGGAAAUGGGAAGAAAGUUAGGAAUUAGGACAACAAACUGAGAAGCUAAGUAUGUUAGCUUUUUGCUGCUAUGACCAAAAUAUCUGACAAUUACAACUUCAAGGAAAUAAAGUUAUUUUGGCUUCUGCUUUUGGAGGUUUUAGUCCAUAGUCUGCCAUCUGCAUUGCUUUGGUGUUGAGGGGAAGCAGAACAUCAUGGUGGAAGAAAGGAUGUGACAGAGGAAAUCUGCUCAGCUGAUGGCAGCUGAAAACCAGGGGG